rnacentral:rRNA from 1 species
UACGUAGGUGGCGAGCGUUGUCCGGAUUUAUUGGGCGUAAAGCGCGCGCAGGCGGUUCGUUACGUCCGGUGUGAAAGCUCCCGGCUCAACUGGGAGAGGUCACUGGAUACGGGCGGACUCGAGGGAGGCAGAGGAAGGUGGAAUUCCCGGUGUAGUGGUGAAAUGCGUAGAGAUCGGGAGGAACACCAGUGGCGAAGGCGGCCUUCUGGGCCUUUCCUGACGCUGAGGCGCGAAAGCGUGGGGAGCGAAC